GGGCUCAUAAUCCAUUGGUCGCAGGUUCAAGUCCUGCUGGGCCCA
rnacentral:tRNA from 1 species